rnacentral:tRNA from 1 species
GGCGACAUAGCUUAGCGGUAUAGCGUCUGACUUGUAAUCAGAAGGUCCGAGGGUUCAAUCCCCUCUGUCGCCU